rnacentral:rRNA from 1 species
GACGAGCCACCCAACCGUUAUUCGGAAUUACUGGGCUUAAAGGGUGCGUAGGCGGUGCAGCAAGUCGGGAGUGAAAUACCUCAGCUUAACUGAGGAACUGCUCUCGGUACUGCUGUGCUUGAGUGAGACAGAGGUAAGCGGAACUUAGGGUGGAGCGGUGAAAUGCGUUGAUAUCCUAAGGAACACCGGUGGCGAAGGCGGCUUACUGGGUCUCUACUGACGCUGAGGCACGAAAGCCAGGGUAGCAAACGGG